rnacentral:rRNA from 1 species
UACAGAGGGCGCGAGCGUUGUCCGGAAUCACUGGGCGUAAAGGGCGCGUAGGUGGCCACCAUAAGGCCGCGGUGAAAGUUCGGGGCUCAACCCCGGAUCGGCCGCGGCGACUGUGGGGCUCGGGUACUGUAGAGGCAGAUGGAAUUCCGGGUGGAGCGGUGAAAUGCGUAGAGAUCGGAAAGAACACCAACGGCGAAAGCACUCUGCUGGGCCGACACUGACACUGAGAGACGAAAGCUAGGGGAGCGAAUGGG